AUUGAACGCUGGCGGCAGGCCUAACACAUGCAAGUCGAACGAGUGGCGGACGGGUGAGUAAUGUCUGGGAAACUGCCUGAUGGAGGGGGAUAACUACUGGAAACGGUAGCUAAUACAGCAUACCAUCAGAUGUGCCCAGAUGGGAUUGGCUAGGUGGUGGGGUAACGGCGCACCAAGGCGACGAUCCCUAGCUGGUCUGAGAGGAUGACCAGCAACACUGGAAAUGAGAAACGGUCCAGACUCCUACGGGACACAGCAGGGGGGAAUAUUGCACAAUGGGCGCAAGCCAGAUGCAGCCAUGCCGCGUGUAUGAAGAAGGCCUUCGGGUUUUAAAGUACUUUCAGCGGGGAGGCGUUACCCGCAGAAGAAGCACAGGCUAACUCCGUGCCAGCAGCCGCGGUAAUUC
rnacentral:rRNA from 1 species